rnacentral:rRNA from 1 species
GACGAACGCUGGCGGCGUGCUUAACACAUGCAAGUCGUACGGUAAGGCCCUUUCGGGGGUACACGAGUGGCGAACGGGUGAGUAACACGUGAGUAACCUGCCCACAACUUUGGGAUAACGCUAGGAAACUGGUGCUAAUACUGGAUAUGUGCUCCUGCUGCAUGGUGGGGGUUGGAAAGCUCCGGCGGUUGUGGAUGGACUCGCGGCCUAUCAGCUUGUUGGUGGGGUAGUGGCCUACCAAGGCGGCGACGGGUAGCCGGCCUGAGAGGGUGACCGGCCACAUGGGACCUGGGUUCGGCCCCGACCCCCACCGGAGGGCGGCGGGGGGAAAUUUGCCCCAAGGGCGCCAGCCCGAUGCAGGCACGCCGCGUGGCGGAUGACGGGCUUCGGGUUGGAAACCCGCUUCCGGCGGGACGAAGCUUUUUGUGACGGUACCUGCAGAAGAAGCACCGGCUAACUACGUG